rnacentral:tRNA from 1 species
GGGAGCGUAGCUCAGUUGGCAGAGCACCGGCCUUUUAAGCCGAUGGCCGAGAGUUCAAAUCUCUCCGCUCUCAUCA